AUUUAAAUAGCUUAAAUAGUAAAGCAUAAUACUGAAAAUAUUAAAAUAAUUUGACCAAUUUUUAAAUA
rnacentral:tRNA from 1 species